AGCAACCGCGGUAAUUCCAGCUCCAAUAGCGUAUAUUAAAGUUGUUGCAGUUAAAAAGCUCGUAGUUGAAUUUCGGGAUCAGUUGAUCGGUCGUGCCUCGGUACGUACUGGCAUUAUUGAUUUCUCCUUUCUGAAGAACCAUGAUGUCAUUAAUUUGGUGUCUUGGGGAAUCAGGACCGUUACUUUGAAAAAUUAGAGUGUUUAAAGCAGGCUCACGCUUGAAUACAUUAGUAUGGAAUAAUGAAAUAGGACGUUUGAUUCUAUUUUGUUGGUUUCUAGGAUCGACGUAAUGAUUAAUAGGGAUAGUUGGGGGCAUUAGUAUUCAAUUGUCAGAGGUGAAAUUCUUGGAUUUAUUGAAGACUAACUACUGCGAAAGCAUUUGCCAAGGAUGUUUUCAUUAAUCAAGAACGAAAGUUAGGGGAUCGAAGACGAUCAGAUACCGUCGUAGUC
rnacentral:rRNA from 1 species